AACGUAGGUUCCGAGCGUUAUCCGGAUUUACUGGGCGUAAAGAGUGUGUAGGCGGUGUUCUAAGUUUGGUGUGAAAUCUCCCGGCUCAACUGGGAGGGUGCGCCGAAAACUGGAAUGCUAGAGUAUGGGAGAGGUAAGCGGAAUUCCUGGUGUAGCGGUGAAAUGCGUAGAUAUCAGGAGGAACACCUGUGGUGUAGACAGCUUACUGGACCAUCACUGACGCUGAGACACGAAAGCGUGGGUAGCAAACAGG
rnacentral:rRNA from 1 species